rnacentral:rRNA from 1 species
CCUACGGGUGGCAGCAGUGAGGAAUAUUGGUCAAUGGACGAGAGUCUGAACCAGCCAAGUAGCGUGAAGGAUGACUGCCCUAUGGGUUGUAAACUUCUUUUAUAUGGGAAUAAAAUGUUCCACGUGUGGGAUUUUGUAUGUACCAUAUGAACAAGGAUCGGCUAACUCCGUGCCAGCAGCCGCGGUAAUACGGAGGAUGCGAGCGUUAUCCGGAUUUAUUGGGUUUAAAGGGAGCGUAGGUGGAUUGUUAAGUCAGUUGUGAAAGUGUGGGGCUCAACCGUAAAACUGCAGUUGAAACUGGCAGACUUGAGUGCAGUAGAGGUGAGCGGAAUUCGUGGUGUAGCGGUGAAAUGCUUAGAUAUCACGAAGAACUCCAGUUGCGAAGGCAGUUCACUGGACUGCAACUGACACUGAGGCUCGAAAGUGUGGGUAUCAAACAGGAUUAGAUACCCGGGUAGUC